AUUGAACGCUGGCGGCAUGCCUUACACAUGCAAGUCGAACGGCAGCACGGGAGCAAUCCUGGUGGCGAGUGGCGAACGGGUGAGUAAUGUAUCGGAACGUACCUUUCAGUGGGGGAUAACGUAGCGAAAGUUACGCUAAUACCGCAUAUUCUGUGAGCAGGAAAGCAGGGGAUCGCAAGACCUUGCGCUGAUUGAGCGGCCGAUAUCAGAUUAGCUAGUUGGUGAGGUAAAGGCUCACCAAGGCGACGAUCUGUAGCGGGUCUGAGAGGAUGAUCCGCCACACCGGAACUGAGACACGGUCCAGACUCCUACGGGAGGCAGCAGUGGGGAAUUUUGGACAAUGGGCGCAAGCCUGAUACAGCAAUGCCGCGUGAGUGAAGACGGCCUUAGGGUUGUAAAGCACUUUCAAUCGUGAAGAAAAGUUGCAGGCUAAUACCCUGUGACCUUGACGUUAACGAUACAAGAAGCACCGGCU
rnacentral:rRNA from 1 species